UACGUAGGGUGCGAGCGUUGUCCGGAAUUAUUGGGCGUAAAGAGCUCGUAGGCGGUCUGUCGCGUCUGCUGUGAAAAUCAGGGCUCAACCCUGGACCUGCAGUGGGUACGGGCAGACUAGAGUGCGGUAGGGGAGAUCGGAAUUCCUGGUGUAGCGGUGAAAUGCGCAGAUAUCAGGAAGAACACCAAUGGCGAAGGCAGCUCUCUGGGACGGUACUGACGGCUGAGACGCGAAAGCGUGGGGAGCGAACAGG
rnacentral:rRNA from 1 species